UGGGACAUAGCCGAUUAAUAAUGCUGUGAUGGUUUCAGGUGAACAGCAAAGGGACUCAGCCAUCCAUACACGUGUAUCCACUCUCCCCCAAACUCCCCUCCCAUCCAGGUUGCCACAUGACAUGGAGCAGAGUUCCCUGUGCUGUCCAGCAGGUCCUUGCUGGUUCUUCAUGUUAAAUACAGCAGUGUGUCCAUGUCCAUCCCAGACUCCCUGACUAUCCCUUCCCCCAUCCUUCCCCCUGGUGACCAUAAUGUUAUUACAGAGUAUUGAGCAGAGUUCCCUGUGCUGUCCAGCAGGUCCUUGCUGGUUCUCCAUGUUAAAUACAGCAGUGUGUCCAUGUCCAUCCCAAACUUCCUAAC
ensembl:lncRNA